GCAUCCUUGGUGUAAUGGUAGCACGAUUGUCUCCAAAACAAUUAGUUGGGGUUCGAAUCCUUGAGGUUGCGC
rnacentral:tRNA from 1 species